UUCCUUGGGGUUUGGGGAUGGUUGGAUGGGUUGCCACUCACCUUUGACGCCGAAGCAGAUAGUCGCCGCCGUGUGCAUCUUCGCCGCCGGCGUCGCCAUCUUCGCCGCCGGAGCUCACCUCUCCUACGUCAACGUCGGUCCCCAGCGGGCCCGCACCCUCGCCCGCGACGAGUUCGUGAGGGAGCACUUCCGCAAGAAGUACGGGUCCGGCGAGUAGGGCCCCGUCCGCUCCCUGUGCCUGCGGAUCCCCUCUGAUCGCUGAUCUCUCGACAUGGGUGGCUCCGAUUCCGUCUCCAUAGUCUCGGAGGAGAUAAGAAAGAAAACGGAGGUCAGGCAUACCAGGCUACCGACAUCCAACUCGCAGGUGACAGCUCUGUACUCUUAAAAGAAGUCAGGCCAGGGUAAGUCUGAGCUAAUUCAAGUACCUACGAAACGAAAAUAAGGAAGCAUGAAAUCACAGAUAUUUUGACGGAGAAACAGCUCAAGCACACAACCUACCUUGUCAAGAAGGGGUAUCCUUCCGUAAGGAGAACAACUCUCGAAGAACUCAAAGUAUAAGUGCCUCGUGUGCUCGCUAGUUCGCCACUCAUUCCCAUGACCUAAGUCGAAGCCCUGAGAUGCAGCAUCCAAACCAGCCAGCGUCUUGUACUCACUAUCACUACAAGAUUUGUUCCCACUGGUCUCCCUGACAUUAUUAUUAACGCAAUAGAGAAUGUAAUGUAAUCUAACUCUAUUUGCAGGUCUCAAAGUUGUGAUGCGAUUAUCUAAUUGUAUAGCUGUUACAGUAGAUGAGAAUGGAUCAGAAACCUGGAAGCAGCAGUAGCUUUGUGAGUGUAUAUCUGAACUCCAGAUAGGUAUGGCACAUAAUACUGGAUUAUCGUCGCCCCAUCGUGUAGGCACACCGGAACGCUGGCACCGUAGGCGCUCCAUUCAUAGUACUGCUCCCACAAGUCUCCGAGGACGAAGAACUCUUCGACGCUGUCCUUUCCGAUAUGAACAGUUACUAGAGGAAGCAGUAAAGGAAGUGAAGACGCCGAAAUAAAAGAAAGGAGCAGACGAUGCGAAAGUACGAAGAAUACUGGUCAAAGAAAGAGAGGGGGAAGAAAAAGAGAGACCUUGGGAAGCUUGUGGGACGGCACGGAAGGAGUGGUGGAGUCGAGGAAACUCUGCAGGUUGGAGCGGCCUCGUCGACAGUUGUUGGCCAUCGCUGUAUGUUCCUUUUUACUCCCUUCGAUGUCGCUUCUGUGCAACCGCUGCUCUCCCUUUGCCUUCCAAUCUCUUUUUUCCAGGUAAACAAGAAGAAGAUAAUAAGCAGAAACCGAGGCGAAGAAGAAGGGCGAGGUCAGAACAAGGGCUCUGCUCUGAGAUGAGGGCAGAAGAGAGGCGACGGAGAGGGGUAGGGAUGCGGGUGGGAAUGGGCAAAUCCCAAGUGACCUCGGCGCUCGCUUUCAAUGCUCAUCCCACCAUUCCGAUAUGGAAAGUUGACUCCUUUUACGGAAUUAAAGUGUUAUCUACCUUGAGAUCUGGUUCAUUCAACCCGAGCCAACGCAGGGGGAACACAAAGAAGGAACCGAAGCGGAGGGGUUGAACGCACGAACGCUCGGAGGAGCCUGAAGAGGUCAGCGAAGCGCGAACAUUGAGAAAGCCUCGCCCUUUUCGAGCUCUUCUGCUCCCGCUAACAUCCCCCUUCGGCUCCCAAGCAAAAUUGCGUCUUCUGCCGCUUCUGCGGUGGAAGAAUCAGAGGAUAUGGAACAUAAAAGGAGUGUCCUUUAAGAGAGAGAGAGCAGAAGAGAGGACAGGAAGACGGGAAGUGUUUGGCAGCCAGCGGACGCUUCGCCGCGUGGUGUCUUUACACAAUCGGUUUUCGUUCGCCUCUGCCGCAUCCUUGUCGCCUGCGUCUCUGUCUCUCUCUCUCUGGAUUAACUAUGGUUCGGCACUUGCUGACUUCUCUCACCUCCACUCUCUCGCCUCUUUCUGUGGAUUAGAGACACUAAAUCUCUCUCUCUCUCUCUCUCUCUCUCUGGAUUAACUAUGGUUUGGCACUUGCUGAGUUCUCUUA